rnacentral:rRNA from 1 species
ACGGUAUUGGGCUUCAGGCGGGAACACUUUACAAUGCGGGAAACCUCGAUAAGGGAACCCCGAGUGCCAGCAUCAAAUGUUAGCAGUCCAGAUGAUAAAAAGCUUUCGUAGCACCCUCAAAUGCCG